AGAGUUUGAUCCUGGCUCAGAGCGAACGCUGGCGGCAGGCUUAACACAUGCAAGUCGAGCGCUCGUAGCAAUACGGGAGCGGCAGACGGGAGAGUAACACGUGGGAACGUACCCUUCGGUUCGGAAUAACCCAGGGAAACUUGGGCUAAUACCGGAUACGUCCGUAAGGAGAAAGAUUUAUCGCCGAGGGAUCGGCCCGCGUCCGAUUAGCUAGUUGGUGGGGUAAUGGCCCACCAAGGCGACGAUCGGUAGCUGGUCUGAGAGGAUGAUCAGCCUCACUGGGACUGAGACACGGCCCAGACUCCUACGGGAGGCAGCAGUGGGGAAUAUUGGACAAUGGGCGCAAGCCUGAUCCAGCCAUGCCGCGUGGGUGAUGAAGGCCUUAGGGUUGUAAAGCCCUUUCGGCGGGGAAGAUAAUGACGGUACCCGCAGAAGAAGCCCCGGCUAACUUCGUGCCAGCAGCCGCGGUAAUACGAAGGGGGCUAGCGUUGCUCGG
rnacentral:rRNA from 1 species